rnacentral:rRNA from 1 species
ACGGAGGGUGCAAGCGUUAAUCGGAAUUACUGGGCGUAAAGCGCACGCAGGCGGUUUGUUAAGUCAGAUGUGAAAUCCCCGCGCUUAACGUGGGAACUGCAUUUGAAACUGGCAAGCUAGAGUCUUGUAGAGGGGGGUAGAAUUCCAGGUGUAGCGGUGAAAUGCGUAGAGAUCUGGAGGAAUACCGGUGGCGAAGGCGGCCCCCUGGACAAAGACUGACGCUCAGGUGCGAAAGCGUGGGGAGCAAACAGG